AACGAACGCUGGCGGCAUGCCUAACACAUGCAAGUCGAACGAGACCUUCGGGCCUAGUGGCGCUCCGGUGCGUAACGCCUGGGAAGUUGCCCUUAGGUUCGGAAUACCUCCCUGAAAGGGGUGCUCAUAACGGAUAAUGUCUUCGGACCAAAGAUCUACCGCGUUGGGAUGGGCCCGCGUUGGUUUCGCUGGGUGGUAGGGUAAUCGCCUACUAAGGCGACGAUGCAUAGCUGGUCUGAGAGGAUGAUCAUCCACACUGGGGCUGAGACACGGCCCAGACUCCUACGGAAGGGAGGAGAGGGGAAUAUUGGAGAAUGGGGGAAAGCCUGAUCCAGCAGUGCCGCGUAAGUGAUGAAGGCGUUAGGGUAGUAAAGCUCUUUUACACGGGAUGUUAGUGACGGUACCGGGAGAAUAAGCUCCGGCUAACUCCGUG
rnacentral:rRNA from 1 species